AGCGAACGCUGGCGGCAGGCUUAACACAUGCAAGUCGAGCGGGCGUAGCAAUACGUCAGCGGCAGACGGGUGAGUAACGCGUGGGAACGUACCUUUUGGUUCGGAACAACACAGGGAAACUUGUGCUAGUACCGGAUAAGCCCUUACGGGGAAAGAUUUAUCGCCGAAAGAUCGGCCCGCGUCUGAUUAGCUAGUUGGUGAGGUAACGGCUCACCAAGGCGACGAUCAGUAGCUGGUCUGAGAGGAUGAUCAGCCACAUUGGGACUGAGACACGGCCCAAACUCCUACGGGAGGCAGCAGUGGGGAAUAUUGGACAAUGGGCGCAAGCCUGAUCCAGCCAUGCCGCGUGAGUGAUGAAGGCCCUAGGGUUGUAAAGCUCUUUUGUGCGGGAAGAUAAUGACGGUACCGCAAGAAUAAGCCCCGGCUAACUUCGUGCCAGCAGCCGCGGUAAUACGAAGGGGGCUAGCGUUGCUCGGAAUCACUGGGCGUAAAGGGUGCGUAGGCGGGUCUUUAAGUCAGGGGUGAAAUCCUGGAGCUCAACUCCAGAACUGCCUUUGAUACUGAGG
rnacentral:rRNA from 1 species